UAAUACGUAGGGUGCGAGCGUUGUCCGGAAUUACUGGGCGUAAAGAGCUCGUAGGUGGUUUGUCGCGUCGUCUGUGAAAUUCCGGGGCUUAACUUCGGGCGUGCAGGCGAUACGGGCAUAACUUGAGUGCUGUAGGGGAGACUGGAAUUCCUGGUGUAGCGGUGAAAUGCGCAGAUAUCAGGAGGAACACCGAUGGCGAAGGCAGGUCUCUGGGCAGUUACUGACGCUGAGGAGCGAAAGCAUGGGUAGCAAACAG
rnacentral:rRNA from 1 species